UAGCCGUAAACGAUACUCGCUAGGUGUCGGCCACGGUGCGACCGUUGUCGGUGCCGUAGGGAAGCCGUGAAGCGAGCCACCUGGGAAGUACGGCCGCAAGGCUGAAACUUAAAGGAAUUGGCGGGGGAGCACAACAACGGGUGGAGCUUGCGGUUUAAUUGGAUUCAACGCCGGAAAUCUUACCGGGACCGACAGCAACAUGAAGGCCAAGCUGAAGACUUUGCCGGAUUAGCUGAGAGGAGGUGCAUGGCGUAGUCGUGGU
rnacentral:rRNA from 1 species